rnacentral:piRNA from 1 species
ACCUUGUAAAGGUAGGAUGGUCGCU